ensembl:lncRNA
AAUGUAUGUCAGUAUUUCUGUGGAAAUCUCACUUUUUACGGGACGUCUUUGCAGGGAUGGGACAGAACCUCAUAUCCCAGCAUGCACACGCGAGCAGAGGCUUAGACGCGAAGGCGCUUCCCUGAGCUGCGGCCGUGCGGGCGGUUCUCGCGGCGGGCCGGGCGAGCGCGCGCUGCCGCCGCUACUGCGUUCGCCACGUUCCCCGCUCGCGCUAAUUGCUACAUCACGCACGGCGCUCGCGCUCACAUUCACCGCGCCAACGCCGAGCGAUGAGCUCACAGGGCGGAGAUUCGGCGGAGCAGCACCGGCGGCAGCAGUUGCUGCGUUUAAUUUAUUUGCAUUUGAAGGAGAAUGGCUACGAGAAAGCUGCCAAGGUGCUUAAAAAGCACAUUUGUCAGAAAGAAACGGAAGCGAGCGUGACACUUUAUGAAAUAUACACCGGUUGGAUAAAAACUUCAGAUGGUUUUGGAGAUACGAAGCAGGAGCCUGGACUGAACAGGGAGAGCCCCCCGAAGAAGUCGCACCUGUCGGACUAUGCCGCCGGGGUCGAGGGAGACGAAGUCAAACCCGAAAAAGGUCACAUCAUUGAGAAGACAGAAGAACCUGAAUUUAAGCCCAUCAUUGAUGAUGGAUCUGUGUCCCCCUGUAACAAACCUUUCAUUCCCUCUGUGGUAAAAAAGUCUUCCAAAAGCACAGAAGGUCACUCAGACUGCAAAGAUGACCCUGAUGGAGACCAGCUGCAGACACCCCCUGGCCAUGCCAGUAGUGUGCCUCCUUUAGUGGAAUUAAGCAAACCCACCAUCCCUCAGGAGGAAACAGUUCCCUUGACACAGGACAUGGGAGUAAAAGUUAUAAGCUCAGACAGUGAAAGUCCUGAAGAUUCAGAAGAAGAGGAGCAGAGGCCACAACAGCAGGCUGAAGGUACUACACCAAAACCCACAGCUAUGAAGACUUCAAGUGUAGCAGGGGCCAGUGAGUCUAAGAGUUCAGCUGACAGUAAUGAUUCUCAGAGAGAAGAAGAAGCACCUGUCCAGAAACCUGGGAAAACACCAGUACGUAAAUCCUCCAAACAAAUUCCAACAAAGGGAGCCACUGCAGCCCCACUAAAGUCUAGCCAGGACACCACCAGCCAAGCUUUAGCUACACCCAAGAUCUCUGCUGCCCAGAACAAGGCUGAGUGCUCUGGGAGUGAGAGCAAUGAUAACUCAGUCAGUGACCAGGAAGUGACACAAGACCAGAAAGCAGUCAAAACCCCAAAAGUUAUACCUGCAGCCCCAGAAAGGCCCAGGCAGUCUGUACACAGCAAAGCUAAAGAUGCCCCUGAGGUUCCUGCUGCAGAGAAGAAAGCAGAGAGCUCAGAGAGUGAGAGUGGUGAUGACUUGGAGAGUGAAGAAGAAGCUGUUAAAGAGAGCGCUAAACCUGUGCCUGACACACCACACAAGGCAACUACAGUGAUUGUCACCCCUGGUCUCACCAAAGUCCCUUCAAAAACAGAAGAGACCUCAGAGAAUGAUGACCAAUCCGAACGUGAAGAAAUUCCACCAACACAGAAAGAAGUGACAACCUCAACAUUGACAACUACCCAGAAGACUCCAAAGAAUGGAGCUUCCGCAGCUCCACUGAAGCCCAGCCAGCACAAAUCAGCCCAGGCUAAAAAGUCACCCAAGGGUCUUGCUGUAGAGAAGUCCGAGAGCUCUGAGAGCAGCAAUGAUUCAGCGAGUGAAGAGAAAGCCGAUGGAAAACCCAACGCUGCAAAAAAGACCACUGCAGUUAUGACUCCAGCACUAGUUAAACCCAGUACCACAUCUGGUCGCACCACAGCCCUGUCAAAAUCAGGAGAGGGCUCAGAGAGUGACGAUGAAUCAGAAAGUGAAGAUGAAAUUCCACCAACCCAGAAAACCAAAAUCCCAAAAGGGACACCUGCCAAGAUUUCACCCACGAGGGCAUCUAAAACUCCAGUGAAGCUCAGCCAUCCCACACCUAUCCAGGCUAAAGGUGCAAAGAAGGCUGACAGCCCAGAGAGCAGUGAUGACUCAGAGAGUGAAGAGGUAGCAACACCACCACAACAGAAAGCUGGUGUGACACCGAAAGCUAAACUUGUGUCUGGCCCUGCAAAGACAACUGCACUGAAAGGUUCAACACCAGGUAAACCUAGUUAUACCUUGGCUCCCACCACAGCCUCCUCAAAACCAGAAGAGAGCUCAGAGAGCGAUGAUGAAUCAGAAAGUGAAGAGGAGAUUCCCCCAACACAGGUAAUGUCCACUGAGCCCACAGCAAGCACACAUUUAGCCACCCCAGCAAUGGUCAACAGGGGUCAGAGUUCAGACAGGGACAGUGAGGAAUCUGAGAGCGAGGACAACGCACCUGACCAGAAACCAGAGCUGACCAUCAAGCCAAAAGUAUGUAAGGUUAUUCCAGCAAAGUCAUUGAGUGCGGUGACCCCAGUCAGAGCCAAGACCGCACCCACCACCACCUCAAAAACAACCAUGAAGACCUCAGUAUCUGUCAGACGAAAAAAGAGUACAAGCACAGACAGUGAGGACGAGAUUCCAAGAAAGUCAGCCCCAGCUAAACGGGCUUCCAUGGUGUCAGUCAAGCCUGGACAUCCCAUUCCAAGCCAGGUUAAAGCAGCACCCAAGGCCCCUUCUAAAGAGGGAAAGGCCAAGGAGGCUAGCAGUGAUGAUUCGGAGAGUGGUGAAGACCCUUCAGCGAAGAUUGCUGUGGCAGCUUCCGACAUUUUGCCCAAGAUGAAAUGCAAAUCCACAACCCAGACUGUACAGAAGACUCCGAACGCUUCAAAAAAAGUGGCCGGUGGCAGUGAGGACCUGUCCGAAAAGGACGCAUCUCUUGAAAACUCGGCUUUGAAGACUCCCAAAGCUAAACUACGUGCCGUCGCUCCAGAACUUUCAUCUGACAUCAAGAGCAGUACAACCAAGGGCACUGAGGAUGGUGCUUCCAUACUCGUUCAGGAAGUCUCAGCAAUAAUGGAUUCUGAACCUGACAUAUUAGGGACAGCAUCUUCUGAUGCAGCUCCCAAAAACUCAAAGGACGGUGAUGUCAUUGCAGAGGAGCUCUCCCAGACUUCUCUGGACCCAAAAGAAUCUAUGAAGAAAGCCACUGAAAGAAGGAAAAGGAGGAGGAAGAAGAAGAAGAAAAAAAAGAAAGCCUCUGUCCAAUUUGAGGAUGAGAACAUUUCCCCCACAGGCCCUGGUCAGGAGCUGAUUUUACCCAGUGGAGGAUCUGCCAUCAGUUUGGACCAGUUAAUAACAAUGCCAUGCAAAGCUUCUGAAGAGCCAGAAUCAUCUGAGACUGGUGUUAGUCUUAAGAAGGUUGGAUCAAAGAGCUCAAAGUCACUAGUAUCAGGAGUGAAUAGUGAGGGAGAGCCUGAAGUGAAAACCAUAGCAACAGAAGCUAUGCCUCAGGCAAAAAAGAGGAGGAGCACAGACAAAGGAGAUAUGGAACCGAAGAGUAAGAAGAAGAAGAAGAAGAAGAAAGGUGCAGACACAGAAGCAAACCCCACAGAGCUGGGGAACAACCCUCAUUCCGAGAACAAGCUUAAUUUGGAAGAGUCAGAAAAAGAGGCACUGACUCCCUCAGAUGAUGCAACUGCAAAGAUGGGCUCUGAUGACUCUAUGGAGUCCAACUCCACCACCCUCAUUUUGUCUGCAAAGGCCUUAAAGAAGAUUAAGAAAAUGAAGAAGAAAGAGAAGGUAAAAGUUAAGAAUACAGGGAGUAAAAAGAUUAAAGCCCACAAGACUAUGAGUGUCUUUACCUCUGUGGCUGAGCAGCUGCUGGCCAUUACCAAAAAAAAAGAAUUAAAGAAAGCUACUGCUGUGAAGAAGCCGCUAUUGGUGCUUGAUCCGCAAAAAAGGAAGAAAUUUGACAAAGACGGUACUAUAAGAUCAGAGCCAGAAUCUGAAAUUCCUGCUUUUAAGAAAAGAAAAAAGAAAAACAAAAGCAACAGGGAGGAGAAGACACCUUCAAAGAAGAAGCAAACUCAGGACACAGAAGACCAUGAGCUGCAAAUCCAAGGUCUGGCGGAGAGUACGCUUGUGAAGAAGAAAAAAAAGAAAAAGAAAAACAGAUGGAAAGACAGAGGAAAACUGAUCAAGACACCUUUCAAGGGGCCACAGGGGCUUCAUCUGGACACACCUCCACCUUUAGGGACUAGUCCAGAACCUUCUAAAGCCGCCUUGGGAAAAGUGAGAAAAAAGUAAAGAAAAAUUUUGUUUCAAAUGUAUUAUCACGUGUUUUACAUCAUUUUGUAAUGCUGUAAAAAGAAAGUAAUGGACUUUUUUUGUAGAUCGCGUUCCUUCAGAAACAGUGAAUGAUGGAUGGGUGAGUAGAAAAUGUUAAAAUACACUUUGUGUUACUACAUGUUUUCAUUGUAAUGUAUAAUAGAUACACCAUACUAUAUUUAAAAUCUCCACAGGAAUUGCUGUUCUCUGCGGACCCGAGAGUAGAUGAGCUGCUGGCCAGUGAAAGAGGAUCAACUCUUCCACACGGGUUAAACUAGUGUUACUUUAUAGUGAGGAAAAAGUUACUUCAGUUUGUAUGUGCUUUCUGUGAAACAUGUUUGGUUCUAUAGCAUUUUAGCAGUAAGCAAUACUACAGAGGAUGGAAGGUUUUGUUACAGCAAUAUUAUGGAUUUAUUCAGUUUUUCUAAUUGUAUGGGAUAUUUUCAGUUAGAUGCUGCUGACUCCAGUUAAGACUAUGGAAAUGAAUUCUGCAUCCAGUGUGGAUUCUCUGUACUUAAAGGUGACUUUAUAUUUGACAGGGCAGAAACAGUAGCACACAGACUAGCAUGUGAUUAUCACUGUGCUUUGGGAACAAGGUUAUACUGACCAUAGACCACCUUACUGCAGUAGUUGAAAGGGAGGCUUUUCUCCCUUAACACAUAAUACAAGUGUUUCUGCCACACACACUUUUAGACACUGUGAAACAGGCAUGUAACUGUCAUUUUUCUGGUGUUUGUUCAUUUCAGCUUUUAAUAAAUGUUAAUUUUGCAUUAUUUGAAGGAGCA